AAUAUUGGACAAUGGGCGAAAGCCUGCUCCAGCCAUCCCGCGUGUGUGAAGAAGGCCUUCGGCUUGUAAAGCACUUUCAGUUGGGAGGGAGGGUUGUAGGUUACUAUCCUGCAAUUUUGACGUUACCAACAGAAUAAGCACCGGCUAACUUCGUGCCAGCAGCCCCGGUAAUACGAAGGGUGCAAGCGUUAAUCGGAAUUACUGGGCGUAAAGCGCGCGUAGGUGGUUCGUUAAGUUGGAAGUGAAAGCCCCGGGAUUAACCUGGGAAUUGCUUUCAAAACUGACGAGCGAGAGUACGGUAGAGGGUAGUGGAAUUUCCUGUGUAGCGGUGAAAUGCGUAGAUAUAGGAAGGAACAUCAGUGGCGAAGGCGACUACCUGGACUGAUACUGACACUGAGGUGCGAAAGCGUGGGGAGCAAACA
rnacentral:rRNA from 1 species